UACGGGGGGAGCAAGCGUUGUUCGGAUUUACUGGGCGUAAAGGGCGCGUAGGCGGUCAGCACAAGUCAGUUGUGAAAUCUCCGGGCUUAACUCGGAAAGGUCAACUGAUACUGUGCGACUAGAGUGCGGAAGGGGCAACUGGAAUUCUCGGUGUAGCGGUGAAAUGCGUAGAUAUCGAGAGGAACACCUGCGGCGAAGGCGGGUUGCUGGGCCGACACUGACGCUGAGGCACGAAGGCCAGGGGAGCAAACGGG
rnacentral:rRNA from 1 species